rnacentral:rRNA from 1 species
ACGCGAAGAACCUUACCAGGGCUUGACAUGUCACAAAUCUUCCUGAAAGGGAAGAGUGCCUUCGGGAAUGUGAACACAAGUGGUGCAUGGCUGUCGUCAGCUCGUGUCGUGAGAUGUUGGGUUAAGUCCCGCAACGAGCGUAACCCUUGUCUUUAGUUGCCAUCAUUUAGUUGGGCACUUUAAAGAGACUGCCGGUGAUAAACCGGAGGAAGGUGAGGACGACGUCAAGUCAGCAUGCCCCUUACGCCCUGGGCUACACACGUACUACAAUGGCCGAGACAAAGAGUCGCAAGUUUGCAAAGACAAGCUAAUCUCAUAAACUCGGUCUCAGUUCGGAUUGUAGGCUGCAACUCGCCUACAUGAAGUUGGAAUCGCUAGUAAUCGCCGGUCAGCUAUACGGCGGUGAAUCCGUUCCCGGGCCUUGUACACACCGCCCGUCACACCAUGGAAGCUGUUCAUGCCCAAAGUCGUUACCUUAACCGCAAGG